rnacentral:rRNA from 1 species
UACGUAGGGUGCAAGCGUUAAUCGGAAUUACUGGGCGUAAAGCGUGCGCAGGCGGUUCGCUAAGACAGAUGUGAAAUCCCCGGGCUUAACCUGGGAACUGCAUUUGUGACUGGCGGGCUAGAGUAUGGCAGAGGGGGGGUAGGAAUUCCACGUGUAGCAGUGAAAUGCGUAGAGAUGUGGAGGAAUACCGAUGGCGAAGGCAGCCCCCUGGGCCAAUACUGACGCUCAUGCACGAAAGCGUGGGGAGCAAACAGG